GAUGAACGCUGGCGGCGUGCCUAACACAUGCAAGUAGAACGCUAAAGGGGGUUCUUGCUCUUCUGUAUGAGUCGCGCACGUGUGUGUAGCGCGUAGAUCUCCUCUCUCAGCUCGGGGGAAAACUUUGGGACGCGAUAGCUAAUACCACAUGAUAACAGUAAGGGCUUGUUAACUUAUGAAAAGUAUCAACUGCUCCACUACGAUUUGCGUCUGCGUUGUAUUAGCGAGUUGUUACGGUAACGGGUCACCAAGGCGACGAUACAUAGUCGACCUGAGAGGGGGAGCGGCCAAGCUGGGAAUGGGGAACGGCCAAGAGUCCUACGGGAGGCAGCAGUAGGGAAUAUUGGGCAAUGGACGGAAGUCUGACCGAGCAAGGCCGCGUGAGUGAAGAAGGUUUUCGGGUCGUAAAGAUCUGUUGUAAGAGAAGAAAGAGUGUGAGAGUGGAAAGUUCACACUGUGACGGUAUCUUACGAGAAAGGGACGGCUAACUACGUG
rnacentral:rRNA from 1 species